CUCCCAUGAUGAGGACAAUUCUUUAUCAUCAUGUUAAACCUCUCGAAUGCUUCAUGAAACAUUUCACCCGUUUGUUGUUGAAAACUUCUCAAACCUUUUCUAGCAUG
rfam:Helianthus annuus linkage group 13, whole genome shotgun sequence.